GGAGAGGUGGCUGAGUGGCUUAAAGCGGCGGUCUCGAAAACCGUUUCCCAUGUUAAUGGGACGUGGGUUCGAAUCCCACCCUCUCCG
rnacentral:tRNA from 1 species